UACAGAGGGUGCGAGCGUUAAUCGGAAUUACUGGGCGUAAAGCGCGCGUAGGCGGCUUUGCAAGUCGAGUGUGAAAUCCCCGGGCUUAACCUGGGACCUGCAUUUGUGACUGCAUUGCUGGAGUGCGGCAGAGGGGGAUGGAAUUCCGCGUGUAGCAGUGAAAUGCGUAGAUAUGCGGAGGAACACCGAUGGCGAAGGCAAUCCCCUGGGCCUGCACUGACACUGAGGCACGAAAGCGUGGGGAGCAAACAGG
rnacentral:rRNA from 1 species